rnacentral:rRNA from 1 species
AUUGAACGCUUGCGGCAUGCCUUACACAUGCAAGUCGAACGGUAACGGGUCCUUCGGGAUGCCGACGAGUGGCGAACGGGUGAGUAAUAUAUCGGAACGUGCCCAGUAGUGGGGGAUAACUGCUCGAAAGAGCAGCUAAUACCGCAUACGACCUGAGGGUGAAAGGGGGGGAUCGCAAGACCUCUCGCUAUUGGAGCGGCCGAUAUCAGAUUAGCUAGUUGGUGGGGUAAAGGCCUACCAAGGCAACGAUCUGUAGUUGGUCUGAGAGGACGACCAGCCACACUGGGACUGAGACACGGCCCAGACUCCUACGGGAGGCAGCAGUGGGGAAUUUUGGACAAUGGGCGCAAGCCUGAUCCAGCAAUGCCGCGUGCAGGAAGAAGGCCUUCGGGUUGUAAACUGCUUUUGUCAGGGAAGAAAUCUUCUGGGCUAAUACCCCGGGAGGAUGACGGUACCUGAAGAAUAAGCACCGGCUAACUACGUGCCAGCAGCCGCGGUAAUACGUAGGGUGCGAGCGUUAAUCAGAAUUACUGGGCGUAAAGCGUGCGCAGGCGGCUUUGCAAGACAGAUGUGAAAUCCCCGGGCUCAACCUGGGAACUGCAUUUGUGACUGCAAGGCUAGAGUACGGCAGAGGGGGAUGGAAUUCCGCGUGUAGCAGUGAAAUGCGUAGAUAUGCGGAGGAACACCAAUGGCGAAGGCAAUCCCCUGGGCCUGUACUGACGCUCAUGCACGAAAGCGUGGGGAGCAAACAGGAUUAGAUACCCUGGUAGUCCACGCCCUAAACGAUGUCAACUGGUUGUUGGACGGCUUGCUGUUCAGUAACGAAGCUAACGCGUGAAGUUGACCGCCUGGGGAGUACGGCCGCAAGGUUGAAGCUCAAAGGAAUUGACGGGGACCCGCACAAGCGGUGGAUGAUGUGGUUUAAUUCGAUGCAACGCGAAAAACCUUACCUACCCUUGACAUGUCAAGAAUUCUGCAGAGAUGUGGAAGUGCUCGAAAGAGAACUUGAACACAGGUGCUGCAUGGCCGUCGUCAGCUCGUGUCGUGAGAUGUUGGGUUAAGUCCCGCAACGAGCGCAACCCUUGUCAUUAGUUGCUACGCAAGAGCACUCUAAUGAGACUGCCGGUGACAAACCGGAGGAAGGUGGGGAUGACGUCAGGUCCUCAUGGCCCUUAUGGGUAGGGCUACACACGUCAUACAAUGGCCGGUACAGAGGGCUGCCAACCCGCGAGGGGGAGCCAAUCCCAGAAAACCGGUCGUAGUCCGGAUCGUAGUCUGCAACUCGACUGCGUGAAGUCGGAAUCGCUAGUAAUCGCGGAUCAGCUUGCCGCGGUGAAUACGUUCCCGGGUCU